CUUUUGAGUAGUCUGUUUCUUUCUGCGUCACGGUUUGUUGUUUUGUAUAUUCAGUUCUUUUGUGUAUUGCAAAAGUUUCACGGAUUUAAUCAAAUGUGGAACUACAACCACGCUGCACUUUGGUCCGAUCCUUUCGACAGCCGUGACACAGGCUCUGGACCUCGUAGGAAUACUGCAGAUAAUUCCCAGAAUGCUCUUCGGGAUAGCUUGUUACCAUGGGAAUUUCCAAGGGUCCCAGGAGUUAAUGAGGACCAUAUGUUGACAUGUCAUGUCAAACAGCACUAUGGGAACGGUAUCCAUGCCAAUCACAGGGGACAAGAUGGUCAUGUGAAAUGGAGGGAUGGACGCCCCCUACUGGCUGAACAAGAUAAUGAAAGCCUUCAGUCUAUCAAAGUAAAAUACAGUCGUGAAACCGUUUAGAUUCCCAGGCUGUGGUUUCUGCAUGGUUUCCUAGUGUAAUAUUCAUUAUCAAGCAAUCCACUAUCCAAGAUGUUCCUUCCCACUAUGCAUCUCAACAUAGUGGACUUGUGAUUCUAUUAAACAGUCAUAUUCACCGAUAAUUUCAACUCAGAGCUACUGUUUCCAGAUGACCAUAAAUAACAAUGACCUGACAAACGUUUGUGUGUUCGAGGUCAUUUGAGGUAAUAGAGUUAUGUUUUUGAGAGGUUUUCCUGGAGAAACAGUUUCAUUUGAAAUGGUUUAUUCCAAAAAUCUAUAUUUAUAGUUAUGCAUCCAAGUUCACACAGGAAAUGUAAAAAUAGACAUUUCCCCACGGC
rnacentral:lncRNA from 1 species